rnacentral:tmRNA from 1 species
GGGGCAGACUUGGUUUCGACAGAUUAUGGUGACAUAUGACCACAAGUAGUAGGGAUACUUUAAAUCUAUUUUUAAAUAUAAACGCAGAACAAAAUUGGGCGUUCGCUCCUUCUUUUGCCUAAUAUAAGGCUUGGAGCUCUUCUUUAAUUCCUAUACCUUUGGGGAAUUACUGAGGAUCAUUCACAAGGGUUAUAUUAUUUAAUUGUUUAGAGUUAAAUAAUGAAUAUUUAUCUAAACUAGCUUAUUAAUAGGUGCACUAGAUCCGGUUAAUAAGUAAGAUUAAAUUCUAGUCAAACUUGUAAACGUUGUAUGAUCAUGUAGUUUGGACAGGAGUUCAAUUCUCCUCUGCUCCACCA